GAACUGCUCCCCUACUAUCUCCAAGCAACAAGGAAGACCUCAAAAUCCUCAUCCAGGUCUUCCUGGGGCCUCCAGAAAACUUGUUUAAUCCAAUAUAUCUCAGCAGAGUUUGGGUGUCAAGCCUUUCUUUUCGUGAUCUCUUCCCUUGCCUUUAUUUCUCACGAUGGAGGAUUUGUAAUCCAAUGGGUAUAACUCAGGGGCUGUCAAGACUGAUGAUUAAAAUGUGGACUGUUUGAACGUUAAUGUACAGGGUAGCAUCCUUCCCAAAUUAGAUUCACCUGGAGCCCCAGAACACGAUGCUAUUUCAAGGUAGGGUCUUUGCUCAUGUAAUAUGGUAAAAUGAGGUCAUGCUCAUUAAGGAUUAAGGUGGGAGUCCAGUCCAAUCACUGGAGUCCUUGAAAGAAGGCCACGUGGAGACACACACACACACGGAAGGAGAAUGCCACGUGAGGGUGGAGACAGGUUGGAGGGACAUAUCUAGAAGCCAAGGAACGCCAGGGGCCAGUGGCGGCCACCAGGAGAAAGGCAAGGGAUGAUGCUCCUCAGAGCCCCCAGGAAGGAACGAGCCCUGCCGAUACCUUCAGUUUGGACCUCGAGUCUCCGGAACAGUCCUCAGGAAACGGCAUGCUGGCCUCUGGGCGCAGAACCUCCACCCUUGUUUGGCUGGUGUCUUGUUGCAGCUGGUGGAUGACUUGUAGUUUUAUGUGCAGAAAAGCUCCUGUUGGGCUCCAGCCAGGCGAGUCACCACUCAAAGAGGGGGUCCAGCCGGGCCAUCAGACUCUUCAGGUGUCGCCCUGUCUGGGCCAGCUGUUGUGUCAGUUGGACCAGCUGUUGAACAGUCUGAGAUGGGAGACAGCUCAGCGAGUGGACAAGGCCUAUGUCUUGGGGAAGGUGGCUGAUGCGGCUGAGGACACGGCUGUUUCACCGGCAGAGCCAGGAUGCAAUCCCUGUCUGCCUGAUUCAAAAGAACUGCUCUUAUUUUUCACCCAGAGAAAAAGAGAGGUGACUCCUGCUUUAUAGUUGUGAGAAUCCCAUGAGAAAAUCAACACAAGGUGUCCAGCAGAACUCUCUACGCACAGUCGACAUGUUCACUCCCAGAAACUCUUCAUUGCCUUCUCUCUGUAAUCAGAAGUGACCAAUCGCUGCUAAACCACGACACUGAGAACACGGCUGGUCCCAGCCCCGUGCCUGGGCGUCACUCCGCUCCCACAUGGCGCCCAGUUUCUGCUUGGUGUUCUAAGAUGGGCUUCUUGGGGUAGUGUUCCUCCUCUGGCUCCUCUCCCAUAUGGUGGUUUAAUUGCUAAGUUGUGUCCGACUUUUGCAACCCCAUGGACUGUAGCCCACCAAUCUCCUCUGUCCAUGGGAUUUUUUCCAGGCAAGAAUACUGGAGUGAAUUGCCAUUUCCUUCUGCAGGGGAUCUUCCCGACCCAGGAAUUGAACCCGUGUCUCCUGCGUUGCAGGCAGAGUCUUUACCGACUGAGCUACCAAACGCACAAUAGCUACAAAAAUGAGAAACAGCAUGGCGGUCGUGGUGAGGUUCCAAGACCAUCAUCAAUUCUUAUAAAAAAAAAAUCAUUCUCUUUGAAUGUGGUGCUUAUCUGGGUACCGUGCCAAACUCAGUCUAGGACAGACACUGGGAUAAGUUGAGGGUGGGAAGAGCGUCUCCUGACUAACCCACCAGCUAUAGGAAGUUUUUCUAGACCCAAGGGUUCUCAACCUCACUGGAUCCAACUCCCCCCUUUUUUAAUGAAUACUCUAUAUUAUUACCAUGAAAUAAAAAGGUAAACCACUAUAACUUGCCUUUGAUGGAGUAUUGAUGGGCGAGCACACAAGGGAGCCUUCUGAGGUGUUGGAAAUAUUUUAUAUAUUGAUUUCAGUGGUGGUUAUAUUCAUAUAUAAAAAUUCAUUAAACAAGGGAUCUCUCUUUUACUUUUUUAUAAAUGUAUGUGAAUCUAUAAUUAUCUCCUUUAAAGUUGAAAUUAAAAGUGAGAUCCAGGUAAAAA
ensembl:lncRNA